AAAUUGAAGAGUUUGAUCAUGGCUCAGAUUGAACGCUGGCGGCAGGCCUAACACAUGCAAGUCGAACGGUAACAGGAAGCAGCUUGCUGUUUCGCUGACGAGUGGCGGACGGGUGAGUAAUGUCUGGGAAACUGCCUGAUGGAGGGGGAUAACUACUGGAAACGGUGGCUAAUACCGCAUAACGUCGCAAGACCAAAGAGGGGGACCUUCGGGCCUCUUGCCAUCAGAUGUGCCCAGAUGGGAUUAGCUUGUUGGUGAGGUAACGGCUCACCAAGGCGACGAUCCCUAGCUGGUCUGAGAGGAUGACCAGCCACACUGGAACUGAGACACGGUCCAGACUCCUACGGGAGGCAGCAGUGGGGAAUAUUGCACAAUGGGCGCAAGCCUGAUGCAGCCAUGCCGCGUGUAUGAAGAAGGCCUUCGGGUUGUAAAGUACUUUCAGCGGGGAGGAAGGUGUUGUGGUUAAUAACCACAGCAAUUGACGUUACCCGCAGAAGAAGCACCGG
rnacentral:rRNA from 2 species